AACGAACGCUGGCGGCAUGCCUAACACAUGCAAGUCGAACGAAGCCUUCGGGCUUAGUGGCGCACGGGUGCGUAACGCGUGGGAAUCUGCCCUUGGGUUCGGAAUAACAGUUAGAAAUGACUGCUAAUACCGGAUGAUGUCUUCGGACCAAAGAUUUAUCGCCCAAGGAUGAGCCCGCGUAGGAUUAGGUAGCUGGUGGUGGUAAUGGCCCACCAAGCCGACGAUCCUUAGCUGGUCCGAGAGGAUGAUCAGCCACACUGGGACUGAGACACGGCCCAGACUCCUACGGGAGGCAGCAGUGGGGAAUAUUGGACAAUGGGCGAAAGCCUGAUCCAGCAAUGCCGCGUGAGUGAUGAAGGCCUUAGGGUUGUAAAGCUCUUUUACCAGGGAUGAUAAUGACAGUACCUGGAGAAUAAGCUCCGGCUAACUCCGUGCCAGCCGCCGCCGUAACAC
rnacentral:rRNA from 1 species